rnacentral:lncRNA from 1 species
AUUUUUAAAGACUUCCAUGAUUUCAUCGUACUGAGAUUUUUUCUUUGAGUCUUGUAGUCUACUAGGAAAGGGAACCUUAGUGUGUAAGUUUCUAUUGGUUUCUCCUCUAUUCCUUGUGUUCCCUGUUCUUGUGCCUUUUUCUGGGUGGGGUUUGGUUCAUGUUUUUCUUCUUUUUCUUGCACAGAAAGUUGGACUUUGUUGUCCACUUGCUUGCCAGAUCGUAAAGUGGUAAUUGCCUGGACUUCAUGGGUAGGGUUUCCAUU